rnacentral:rRNA from 1 species
UACGUAGGGGGCGAGCGUUGUCCGGAAUUACUGGGCGUAAAGGGCGUGUAGGCGGUUUUGUAAGUCAGGUGUGAAACCUGUGGGCUCAACCCAUAGCAUGCACUUGAAACUGCAGGACUUGAGGGUAGGAGAGGAAAGUGGAAUUCCUAGUGUAGCGGUGAAAUGCGUAGAUAUUAGGAGGAACACCAGUGGCGAAGGCGACUUUCUGGCCUAACCCUGACGCUGAGGCGCGAAAGCGUGGGGAGCAAACAGGAUUAGAUACCCUGGUAGUCCACGCCGUAAACGAUGGGUACUAGGUGUAGGAGGUAUCGACCCCUUCUGUGCCGCAGCAAACGCAUUAAGUACCCCGCCUGGGGAGUACGGCCGCAAGGCUGAA